AACGAACGCUGGCGGCAGGCCUAACACAUGCAAGUCGAACGUGAAGCCACCUUCGGGUGGUGGAAAGUGGCAGACGGGUGAGUAACGCGUGGGAACGUACCCUUUGGUUCGGAACAACUCCGGGAAACUGGAGCUAAUACCGGAUGAGCCCUACGGGGGAAAGAUUUAUCGCCGAAGGAUCGGCCCGCGUCGGAUUAGCUUGUUGGUGAGGUAACGGCUCACCAAGGCGACGAUCCGUAGCUGGUCUGAGAGGAUGAUCAGCCACACUGGGACUGAGACACGGCCCAGACUCCUACGGGAGGCAGCAGUGGGGAAUAUUGGACAAUGGGCGCAAGCCUGAUCCAGCCAUGCCGCGUGAGUGAUGAAGGCCUUAGGGUUGUAAAGCUCUUUCGCCAGGGACGAUAAUGACGGUACCUGGAUAAGAAGCCCCGGCUAACUUCGUGCCAGCAGCCGCGGUAAUACGAAGGGGCUAGCGUUGUUCGGAAUCACUGGGCGUAAGGCGCAUGUA
rnacentral:rRNA from 1 species